rnacentral:rRNA from 1 species
AGUAACGCGUGGGAACAUACCCUUUUCUACGGAAUAGCCUCGGGAAACUGAGAGUAAUACCGUAUAAGCCCUUCGGGGGAAAGAUUUAUCGGGAAAGGAUUGGCCCGCGUUAGAUUAGAUAGUUGGUGGGGUAAUGGCCUACCAAGUCUACGAUCUAUAGCUGGUUUUAGAGGAUGAUCAGCAACACUGGGACUGAGACACGGCCCAGACUCCUACGGGAGGCAGCAGUGGGGAAUCUUAGACAAUGGGCGCAAGCCUGAUCUAGCCAUGCCGCGUGUGUGAUGAAGGUCUUAGGAUCGUAAAGCACUUUCGCCAGGGAUGAUAAUGACAGUACCUGGUAAAGAAACCCCGGCUAACUCCGUGCCAGCAGCCGCGGUAAUACGGAGGGGGUUAGCGUUGUUCGGAAUUACUGGGCGUAAAGCGUACGUAGGCGGAUUGGAAAGUUGGGGGUGAAAUCCCAGG